AGUUUCCAUACAGUCGGUCGUGUACAAUCCUCAUUACAAAGAAAGCAUUGUCCGCCCCAUUUCCUGCCAUCAGGAGGAGAAUAGCGUUCUGUCAAACUUAUUCAGUGGCGUCCUAUUUAUUAGAAAUGCCAAAUUUUCAUCCUCUGUCCAGCCCUGUGACUUGUGCCGAAUGAAUGUGAAUUGCUUUUGUAAGGUCAAGGCCUCGGUGACAAUGCAGUGAAAGUUUCAAGGAAGCUGGUGAUGAUGGAUUUGUCUUUAGUUCAUUGGAGUGCUUGUAAUAAAACUAAUGAAUGGAAAGGACUGAACAGUUUCAAUUAGCCGCAUAUAGUAAAAUCCUAAAAAUAAUUAGUGGCUGAGAUGGUGUGUAGUUAUUUUAAAAUACUGUUUCUAGUUUGUAAAGAUCUUGGUUUAGUUUGCUUUGGAAUUGAGCCAUUUGAGAGAGAGAGAAAAACCUACAAUGUGCUCUGUGUGUAUGUGUGUGUGUGUGUGUGUGUGUGUGUGUAUGUGUGUGUGUGUGUGUUUCAGACAAGCUUUUUAUUCCUGUGCAAUUGUGUAAUAAUAGAUAGUAACGAACGGUUUUUAGUGCUUUAUAAUUUCACAAAAUUUUCUCUAAUUCUUAUUAAUUCGUUCCUCCCAACAAUACUUUGAGUUCAGUCUUAUUAUUCUAUUUAUUUUAAGGAGGAAGUCGGGAUUAUCCGUUUAGGUUUACAGAGCUGAAAAGAAUCAGGGAGAAUCAGCCAGCUCUUGUGACUCAAAAUUCAGUGAUAUUUGCCUUGUGGCACAUGCACGUUUCUGGUUUGUUUUUGUUUUUUGUCUUGUUUGGUUUUGGUUUUGCUGUGGAUAGGCUUCCUUUUUGAAGCAAACCUGCAGCACAUAAGUGCUUUUAGUUUAAUUGCGUGGAUCUCUCCCUCAGACCUCUGUUCAACAAAUAAUGGUGCUGCUAACAUUUCCUGAUGUCUGAUGUAUUGAGUGCUUCGUAGAGGCAUCAUGCUUGGCUCUAGGAAGUCAAAAUGUGGUUGGGUAGGGUCCAUAUCCGAAAGGAAUGAGAAGUCUAAUUUAUUCGUGGGCCAUUUUGUCAGUCUCCUUUUGCCCUCUAGGUACCAGCCAUGGUCGGAUACCUUAGAGCAGCAGGUGACUGUAUCCUUGCACUCUUAGACCCAGGAAAGUUGCAGAGCUACUGGCCCAAACGGGAGUUUCCUGAGUCUGGAUCCCAUGUGUUCUUGAUCGAGACUUCAUUGCUCUCACAACUUUAGAAAUUGUGAUAUUUUUCACCUCCGACGUCUCACUGGGUCUCCAGUGGAGUAUUGAUUAUUACCCUCAUUUUAGAGAUGAGGCGCCUAAGGCUGUGCGAGAUCAGAGGACGGGGUCUCAUGUUCCUUUUCUAUCAUGUGACCCAGGUGACAGUUUCUGGGAAUUUCUAUCCAUCGGGUCCAAAUGCAGAGGUCAAGGAGCAUGUGCCCGUGCUUCGCAAGUGUCUUAGUCGAUCUGGGCUGCUGUAACAGACGACCAUAGACGGGGGGGGCUUCAGAAAGACAUCUUGAUUCCUCGCAUUGCCUUCCUGAAAAAAAUUUAAUGGAGUAGAUUACAAGUGUUUAUUUAUGGGGGCGGGGGAGUCUGGGAUCAGCGCACCGUUGGAUUUGGCAUCUGGUGAAGGCACCCUUCUGGAUUCACAGAUGGCCGUCCUGUCUCUGCGUCCUCUUAUGGAGGAAGGGGUGAGAGCUGUCUCCGGGUUCUCUUUCAUCCUGUUCAUGAGCGCUGCUUCCACGCGACCACCUCACCUCCCAAAGGCUCCUCCUCUGAAUCCCAUUAUAUUGGGGGGGGGGGGUGCGGUUAAGAUAUCAACUUAGGAAUUUAGAGGGGACACAGAUAUUCAUUACAUAACAGCAGAGAGUUAGCCUGAAAUACCCAGUGGCUACCAAAACAUUCCUUUUUGUUUUAAAGUCCUUGCUUUGUCUUUACUGUGCAUGUGAAAUUUGCAUUUUGCUCCAUCAGAGAUGCUUUAAUAUUAAAAACCGGUUCCCCAGACCAAAAUCAGAAUAAAAUCUAUGCUCCGGGGAUCUUUUUCUGGGGCUAAUUCUGGGACACACUGUCUUGCACCGGGGUGGGGAGGGGGUACCCAGUCCUUCCAGCUUUAACUCUUCCAAGUUAGACUUAGUGAUCUUAUGUUUAGCCUAAAGUUUUACCGUUUGCUCCUCUUUCAUAAGCUUGCUCUCUCUCUUUUUUUUGUCUACCUAAUUUGUUACCUACUAUUUUAUUACAAAAAAAUUUGAGGGGGUUCUCAUGAGGAGGCACAAUACAAUCUAAAAACCUCUGAAAGUCAGGGGGAAGGAAAAACCACGCUGUUGUAACAAGGUUUUACGUGUAUGUAUGUCACUGUUCUAUAUAGCAGGAAAUGACACAAUACUGUAAAUCAAUUUUCAUAGUAUUUUUUAAUUUUUUUUUUUAGGACCACACCUGCAGCAUAUGGAGGUUCCCAGGCUAGGGGUCCAAUCGGAGCUGUAGCCGCUAGCCUAAAGCAAUGGGGGAUCCGAGCCAUGUCUGUAACCUACACCACAGCUCACGGCAAUGCCGGAUCCUGAAUCCACUGAGCGAGGCCAGGAAUAGAACCUGCGUGCCAUGGAUGCUAGUCAGAUUUGUUUCCGCAGAGCCCCCACGGGAACUCCUAAUAAUUUUUUUUUUAAAGAUGAAAUGGCAGCAUGCUGGGAGAAGAAACCCAUGGUGUGCCCCUGCAGAUGUGCUAGAAACAGACCAGUGAUUUGGCUCUCAGCAUCCUCCCCACCUAGACUUCCUCGGCCUGAGGCUCUGCUUUGUCUGUUCAGCCCACACUGAGGUGGGGCCGGGGUUAUCCUAGCCCUGAAGCUUGAGGGAAAUUUCUCCUUUGGGGUCCCCUAAGGUGGACACACGUCCACCCUGAUGGUUGGCAGCAUCCUGAUGGACACUCCAUUGGCGGAGCGCCCACAGUGCAUCGUUGGGCCGCCUGGUUACAGCAUCCCCAGAAAAGCUGGGGGAGACGAGCCCCAGACACAGUGAGACGGCGGCACGCCUCAGCCCAGGCUCUCUGCCUGCAAGUCCGCUGUGAUUUCUGACAACGAUGGAUUACACCCUUGUUGCUUUUCCCUCCAAAUUGCAUUCUGGAUGGAGUUAAGGGAAAACACGUAAUAAUAUUUUCAAUGUAGUGUUUUUCUCAUUAGGAGAGAAAAUGAAUAAGUUGGAAUUUUAAUGGGGAGCCUUUUUAAUAGCAAUCCUUGUGAUUUAUUAUUCUCCUGGGGAUUUUAUUCACCAUCUUUAAGUCUUAAUAAAAAUAUAUAUAAAACAUCGAGGAGUUGGCUUCUCCCCUUGGAACAAGUUUUCACACAAGAGAAGAGGGGUCACUUGACACAGGAGACUCUGAGAGGGGCUCUUGCGUCUUUGAGCCUUUUUUCAUUAGACAGACGUGGAAGAGAACCAGCCAGAACAAGGACUGUGUCCAUUGGCAUUGUUCUGAUCAAGCCCUUCUUUGAAAUUUUUGAUUUAGGGAGGUCUCAGAUGAUGCAAUCUUUAAAAUCAGGCGUUUCCAGAGUUUAUAAACGUCCGGUUUAUUCUGGUUUGUGUGCCCGGUAGGGAGUCCCACGUGAUUCGCAGUCUGUGAGAUGUCACGGGGCACAGGAGUCUUCUCCUGGUGGGAGCGGGGGGCACUGUUCCUUGGCGAUGUGGACUGGCCAACGGCAGUGAUGAAAAAUGAUGCUGGACUGCUCACACCACACUCGCUCAUUUUGAAACAGGCUCACAAAUUGCUGCGAAGCCCUCACUGUGUCUUUACGGCCCUUGCCUGGUUCCAGACGUUUGAUCACCAAUGCAGCAUUUCCCUAAUGCUGUGCAGGUUGAUAAAACAGUUGCCGAGCCGGAAUCCCUAAAGAAAUUAUUAAUUAUCUGGUUAAUGUGCAUCGGGCUGUGGGAGUGUGAGAUUAAUCACCGGCAGUGGGAUGAGUUGCUGAAGUGGAUUUUGGUUUUUCGUCUCCUGUCACUCGGUAAUGGCUUUUCCUUCCUUCACCAUCAGGCGAACAGGUGCAGAGAUGCUGUAUUUUCAUUUUCCCAGAGUCAGUAACAGCCGGUGGCCAGGCGAUGCAUUUUCCUCGGUCCUGCUGUAUGAGCACUUUACAACAUGGAGUAUUACCUUCUUAGAACAUUCUAGCUCUCCCAACGUGACGGGUCCUACCUCAACUUUUUCAAUGUCCCCAAGAGUGUACUUGAACCCGCACCCCUCCCCCGGCAUACAUACUCUCACAUACACAGCCAUGCACGUGCACAUGGAGACAUUUAUGAAUGCACACAAAAACAUUGGGAGAUGUUUCUGGAUGCAGUGAAUGAACAAUGCUCAACAGUUUAUCUCCUUUCUUUCUUGAGGAAAUCAUUCCUUAUCGC
rnacentral:lncRNA from 1 species